rnacentral:lncRNA from 1 species
CAAACAAACAAAACAGAGAAAAGAAGAGAGGCACCCCUUACAUGUUCUCUAGGGCUUUUAGAAAACAUGAAGAUGUUCCUCUGGUCACAUACAUGCAAAUCUAUAAGAAAGGUGAUACUGUGGAAAUCAAGGGAAUAGGCAUUGUCCAAAAGGGAAUACCCCACAAGUGUUACCAUGGCAAGACUGAGAGAGCCUACAUUGUUAUCCAGCAAGCUGUUGGUGUUGUCAACCCAAGAUUUUUGACAAGAUUCUUGCCAACAGAAUAAAUAUGUGUUUGGUGCAUAUUCAGCACUCUAAGAGCUGGGAUGGCCUCAUGAAACUUCUGAAAGAAAAUGGUUAGAAAAAAAAGGAAGUCAAAGAGAUAGUUCCCUGGGUUCAACUGAAAUGCCAACCUACUUCAUCCAGGGAAGCACACUUUGUGAGAACUAAUGGGAAAGAGCCUGAGCUGCUGGAACCUGUUCCCU